UUAAGUUCAGCGGGUAUCCCUACCUGAUCCGAGGUCAAACUGUGAAGAAGUGACUUCUGGUCGCCGAUCCGCCGGGCCUCGAGUUCGCGUUUCUGCUGCGCUCGAAGCCAACGUACCGGCCGCCAAUGAUUUGAGGCGAGUCCCCGCGGUGAGGCGGGGACAGACACCCAACACCAAGCUGAGCUUGAGGUUUCAAAUGA
rnacentral:misc_RNA from 1 species